rnacentral:rRNA from 1 species
CAGUAGCCGCGGGAAUACGUAGGUCCCGAGCGUUGUCCGGAUUUAUUGGGCGUAAAGCGAGCGCAGGCGGUUAGAUAAGUCUGAAGUUAAAGGCUGUGGCUUAACCGUAGUACGCUUUGGAAACUGUUUAACUUGAGUGCAGAAGGGGAGAGUGGAAUUCCAUGUGUAGCGGUGAAAUGCGUAGAUAUAUGGAGGAACACCGGUGGCGAAAGCGGCUCUCUGGUCUGUAACUGACGCUGAGGCUCGAAAGCGUGGGGAGCGAACAGGAUUAGAUACCCCUGUAGUCCCUGUCUCUUAUACA